AUUCCACCACCGCUCACGGGAGAAAUAUAUAUAUCAUUCUUCAAUCUGCGACUGUGUAGAGAGCGCAGCCGACCGUCGUCUCUCCGGCGGGGGAUAGUUUGCUCGUUUUGGGAAACCUACCUGCAUUGCAGGAAAGAGGAUGGAUCUCGCGCUCCUGUGUUCUGUUCUCGUGGCGUUUCUAGGGGUUAUUGGAUUUUGUUAUUGCACUCGGAGGAAGAAGGAUAGGAGGUGGUUGAGGGAGGAGGAGGAGGGGAGUGGCGCCACUAAGACUACCGUCAUUCCUGAGGGAGAAUGUGGAUCCGGAGACGCCGGCGAAGAUGAUGUGAUUAUUGUUGGUGCUGGUGUUGCCGGCGCCGCACUCGCUUAUACCCUCGGGAAGGAUGGGCGACGUGUUCGUGUGAUAGAAAGAGAUUUAUCAGAGCCUGAUAGGAUUGUUGGAGAGCUACUGCAGCCAGGUGGUUAUCUGAAGCUGGUUGAGUUAGGGUUGGAAGAUUGUGUAGAGGGGAUUGAUGCACAGAGGGUGAAAGGUUAUGCUCUAUUCAAGGAUGGUAGAUCCACCCAGCUUCCUUAUCCAUUGGAAAAUUUUCAGUCCGAUGUGUCUGGUAGGAGCUUCCACAAUGGCCGCUUCAUACAAAGGAUGCGCGAGAAAGCUGCGUCACUUCCAAAUGUUCGAAUGGAGCAAGGAACCGUGACAUCUCUGCUCGAAGAAAAUGGGACCAUAAGAGGUGUACUCUACAAAACAAAAUCUGGUGAAGAGGUGAAAGCUUACGCGCCUUUAACCGUUGUGUGUGACGGGUGCUUUUCUAACUUGCGGAGAACCCUCUGCAGUCCGAAGGUUGAUGUGCCGUCUUGUUUCGUUGGAAUUGUCCUCGAGAACUGCCAACUUCCUUUCGAAAACCACGGACAUGUGAUUUUAGCAGAUCCAUCACCUAUCCUGUUUUAUCCCAUCAGCAGCACGGAGGUCCGGUGUCUGGUUGAUGUUCCCGGGCAGAAGGUGCCUUCAAUAUCGAAUGGCGAAAUGGCCAAAUAUCUUAAAAAUGUUGUUGCUCCUCAGGUUCCUCACCAACUGCGCGAAGCAUUUGUUUCGGCUAUAGAGAAAGGCAACAUUAGGACAAUGCCAAAUCGAAGCAUGCCAGCUGCUCCUCAUCCAACUCCCGGCGCUUUGCUUAUGGGCGACGCAUUCAACAUGCGCCAUCCAUUGACCGGUGGGGGAAUGACAGUUGCAUUGUCGGAUAUAGUUGUGUUGCGCAAUCUUCUCAGGCCCCUACGCGACCUCAGAGACGCACCUUCACUCUGCAAAUAUCUAGAAUCUUUCUACACUCUACGCAAGCCGGUAGCUUCCACUAUCAACACAUUGGCUGGCGCCCUGUACAAGGUCUUCAGCGCUUCACCCGAUGAAGCGCGCAACGAAAUGAGGCAGGCAUGCUUCGACUACUUGAGCCUUGGAGGUGUCUUCUCAAACGGGCCUAUAUCUUUGCUCUCCGGGCUGAAUCCUCGACCGCUGAGUCUGGUUUGCCAUUUCUUUGCUGUUGCAAUAUACGGUGUUGGCAGAUUGUUGCUGCCCUUCCCAUCACCGAAACGAAUGUGGAUUGGAGCCAGAUUGAUAUCGGGCGCAUCAGCAAUAAUCUUACCGAUCAUCAAAGCUGAAGGAGUCAGGCAAAUGUUCUUUCCGGCAACUGUUCCAGCUUACUACAGAGCUCCCCCUACUAAAUAAGGGAUGUUAAACCGGAUAUCCGUACGCACGCUAGCCGGGAGGACGAAAAGGCCACAAAGGAAAAAAGAAUGGAUGUUAGUUGGGAUAAAACUCAAUUAUAUGGAGGAGACUCUCAAAAGGAAGAUGAUCUGAAGGAGAACCCUUAAAGCUGCCCAUUUCUCUUCCUUUCCGACUUGAUAGCUUCGUAGGAC